rnacentral:rRNA from 1 species
UACGGUAGGGCGCAAGCGUUUACUCCGGAAUUGAUUGGGCGUAAAGAGCUCGUAGGCGGUUUUGUCGCGUCUGCCGUGAAAGUCCGGGGCUCAACUCCGGAUCUGCGGUGGGUACGGGCAGACUAGAGUGAUGUAGGGGAGACUGGAAUUCCUGGUGUAGCGGUGAAAAUGCGCAGAUAUCAGGAGGAACACCGAUGGCGAAGGCAGGUCUCUGGGCAUUAACUGACGCUGAGGAGCGAAAGCAUGGGGAGCGAACAGG